rnacentral:rRNA from 1 species
UACGGAGGGAGCAAGCGUUACUCGGAAUUAUUGGGCGUAAAGGGCGCGUAGGCGAUUCGGUUAGUCUCGUGUGAAAGCCCAGGGCUUAACCCUGGAAUGGCACGGGAUACUGCUGAAUUUGAGUUCCGGAGAGGAAGGCAGAAUUCCCGGUGUAGCGGUGAAAUGCGUAGAUAUCGGGAGGAAUACCAGUGGCGAAGGCGGCCUUCUGGACGGAUACUGACGCUGAGGCGCGAAAGCGUGGGGAGCAAAC